AACGAACGCUGGCGGCAUGCCUAACACAUGCAAGUCGAACGAGACCUUCGGGUCUAGUGGCGCACGGGUGCGUAACGCGUGGGAACCUGCCCUUAGGUUCGGAAUAACUCCCCGAAAGGGGUGCUAAUACCGGAUAAUGUCUUCGGACCAAAGAUUUAUCGCCUUUGGAUGGGCCCGCGUUGGGUUGGCUAGUUGUUAGGGUAAAAGCCUACCAAGGCGACGAUCCGUAGCGGGUCUGAGAGGAUGCUCAGCCACACUGGGACUGGGACACGGCCCAGACGCCUGCGGGAGGCAGCAGUGGGGAAUAUUGGACAAUGGGCGAAAGCCUGCUCCAGCACUGCCGCGUGAGUGAUGAAGGCCUUAGGGUUGUCAAGCUCUUUUACCCGGGAUGAUAAUGACAGUACCGGGAGAAUAAGCUCCGGCUAACUCCGUG
rnacentral:rRNA from 1 species